UACGUAGGUGGCAAGCGUUGUCCGGAUUUAUUGGGCGUAAAGAGCUUGUAGGCGGUUUGUCGCGUCUGCUGUGAAAUCUCAAGGCUCAACCUUGAGCUUGCAGUGGGUACGGGCAGACUAGAGUGUGGUAGGGGAGACUGGAAUUCCUGGUGUAGCGGUGAAAUGCGCAGAUAUCAGGAGGAACACCGAUGGCGAAGGCAGGUCUCUGGGCCACUACUGACGCUGAGAAGCGAAAGCAUGGGGAGCGAACAGG
rnacentral:rRNA from 1 species